UGCGGGGCCGCACUCAUCGGCGCCUCCGCAGGGCUGUUCCGCGGCCCCGACCGCUGCUGUCGGGAGCACGACCAGUGCUGGGCGCAAAUCACGGCGCUGCAGUUCAACUACGGUAUCCGGAACUAUCGCCUGCACACCGUGUCCCACUGCGAUUGCGACGCCAGGUUCCGGCAGUGCCUGCUCGCCAUCAACGACACCGUCUCCAACAUCAUUGGCGUCACAUUCUUCAACCUGUUGGAGGUGCCAUGCUUUGUGCUGGAAGAGAGUGAGGAGUGCGUCCAGUGGCACUGGUGGGGCGGGUGUGAGCGUUAUGAUGUAGUGCCUCUUGCCAGGAUGGUGCAGCAGAAUCAGUACCACCCCAGCCUACCAGCAGAGAAGAGGGGAAGCCCUACUGUGCAGCCCCCAGGCAAAAGAAGGACUUUCUCUAGAAGAGGGCGUAAGUGGCUUCGACAGGAACUGAGGGCAAAGCCUAGGCAUCACCAGGUAUGGAGACCUAAGACAGCCCAGCUGCUGCAGGGCCCAGGUACCCCAGCGUUGGCCAGGGACAAGGCUGAGCUCACAACCAGGCACCCAGCAGUGCAGUGGGAGUUAGAGCCUGGCCCUGCAAAAGCACUGACAGUGUCAGGACAGGAUGUGGUUGGAGCAGAGCAAGGAGCUGGAAUCUCAGCAUGUCCUUCGUAUGGCAGCAUUAGACCCAGCCCAGCCACAGCACAGUGUGGAGCCACCCCCAUGCCAGCUGUGAAGGAGCGCAGGGAGCAGGGCACAGGGUGCAGGUGCAACAAACUCCUGGGUAAGUGUGAGCACCAGAUUGCACCCCACGAGGCAAAGUACCAGCUGCACAACGUGGACAGCCGGACACUCCUCCACUGCAACUGCACACACAGGUGUGAGUCCAGGAGGAAAAGGGCACUCUGUGCAUACAGCUGGGGAUCAGAGGAGGUGGGAUGUCUGCCUUGGCCAGCAUUUGCUGAUGUGUGCCCUCCUGUGCCUGCAGGCUGGCACGGUGCCUCCACAGGGCAAGGGACUGCAGUGACAUGGACGUGGCUGUUCUGGCUGACCAUAUCGCCAUGGACUGCUUUGUCCUGGAGCUGCCUGCUGCCUGCAGCCCAGGCAGAGUAUCACAGCACAGGUAAGUGGGGAGGUCAAGAGGCCAGGGCCUGGGUGGGGCAGGAAACCAGUAGUGUAAGUGAUGGCCCCUGCUCUGUUGUGCCACAACCAGGUCGCAGGGCAGGGGGCAGUAGAUGUUGGUGCUGCCAGAUUACAGUGAUGCUCACAGAUUUGCUUCUCCAGCAGCUGUACCACAGUGACCAGGGCUGUGCUUGUACCUGCACGGCAGCUCAAAAAGAUUCUAAGACGCUGGGGCCUUCUGCGUGUGAGCUCCAAGUCCAAACAUCCACACAGGAAGACACAGGCCAGGGGAGGCACCCUCUGUGA
rnacentral:lncRNA from 1 species